rnacentral:precursor_RNA from 15 species
GAACUUGGAGAAGAAAAACGCUAAUCUGUUAGAUGAACUCGACUCGGCUGAUGAUAAAAAAAACAUCACUGGGUUCAGUUUGUCCAAUGGUUUUAGCUAAAAGUCAUCGCUGAAAAA